rnacentral:lncRNA from 10 species
CGAGGUGGCGGGCGCCUGUAGUCCCAGCUACUCGGGAGGCUGAGGCAGGAGAAUGGCGUGAACCCCGCGGGGCGGAGCCUGCAGUGAGCCGAGAUCGCGCCACUGCACUCCAGCUUGGGUGAAAAAGCGAGACUCCAUCUCAAAAAAAAAAAUAAUAAUAAUCUUUGAGUUGCCCCUGUUAGUACAGCACCAAUCCAAAACACACCCCUGUCCUUGGACCCUCCCCAAAAUCACCAGCCACAAGUCCAAAUGGUAUAACAAGCCCUCUAACAAGUCUCCUAAGACACCCCAUGGUUUCAGAGGUGUGAUGUCUCAUUGCAGCAACUAACAGCCCCAAAUAAUAACUAGUUCACAGUGAGGAAUAUAUGCAUUCACUGAAAUAGCAAAUCAUCAUUCCACCAUAUGUAUGCCUUUUGUAGUCUGACUGGUAGACACGGCAAAUAUAGAUACACUUAUAUAUGAAGGAUACGUAACUCAUAUGCACAAAUGAAACUUCAGAGCCUAUACUCUAAUGAAAAAUCAAAAUAAAUUUUUCUUUCUUUUUUUUUUUAACUCUUUGAGACAGGGUCUUGCACCAUCCCCUAGCCAGGAGUGCAGUGGCAGGAUCUCAGCUCGCUGCAGCCUUGACAGCUCAAGCAAUCUUCCCACCUCAGCCUCUCAGCCUCCCGGUAGCUGGGACGACAGGGGGUCACCACCACACCCAGCUGAUUUUUUUUUUUUUUUUUUUUUGAGAUGGUGUCUCGCACUGUCUCCCGGGCUGGAGUGCAAUGGUGCGAUCUCGGCUCACUGCAACCUCCACCUCCCAGGUUCACGGGAUUCUCCUGCUUCAGCCUCCGGAGUAGUUGGGAUUACAGGCGCACACCACCACACCCGGCUAACUUUUUGUGUUUUUAGUAGAGAGGGGGUUUCACUAUGUUGGCCAGACUGGUCUCAAACUCCUGACCUCAUGAUCUGUCCUUCUUGGCCUCCCAAAGUGCUGGGAUUACAGGGUUGAGCCACCGUUCCUAGCCACACCCAGCUGAUUUUUAAAUUUUUUUGGAGAGACACAGACUUGCUAUGUUACCUAGGCUGGUCUCUAACUCCUGGGCUCAAGUGAUCCUCCUCCUGCAUUGGCCUCCCAAAGUGCUGGGAUUACAGCUGUGAGCCACUGCAUCUGGCCAAAACAAACAUUUCUUUUUUUUUUUUUUUUUUUGGACACUGAGUCUUGCUAUGUUGUCCAGGCUAGAGUAGUGAGCCGAGAUUGCGCCACUGCACUCCAGCCUGGGCAACACAGCAAGACUCCGCCUCAAAAAACAAAAAAAAAUUAGCCAGGCAUGGUGGCAGGCGCCUGUAAUCCCAGCUACUCGGCAGGCUGAGGUGGGAAAAUCGCUUGAACCUGGGAGGCAGAGGUUGCAGUGAACCGAGAUCACGCCACUGCCUAGGCAACAGUGCGAGACUCUGUCUCAAAAAAAAAAAAAAUACAAAAAUUAGCUGGGCAUAGUGGCGCAAGCCUGUAGUCCCAGCUACUGGGGAGGCAGAGGUGAGAGAAUCGCUUGAACUUGGGAGGCAGAUGUUGCAGUGAGCUGAGAUCGUGCCAUUGCAACAUAGGGAGGCCCCAUCUCAAAAAAAAAAAAAAAAAAAGAACCACAGAUGUAGCCAGGCACAGGGGCUGAUGCGUGUAAUCCCAGCUACUCAGGAGGCUGUGGUGAGAGAAUCAUUUGAGCCUGGAACUUUAAGACCAGCCUAAGCAACGUAGUGAGACCCUGUCUCUAAAAAAAAAAAUUUUAGGCCAGGUGCGGUGGCUCACGCCUGUAAUCCCAGCACUUUGGGAGGCUGAGGCAGGUGGAUCAUGAGGUCAGGAGUUCAAGACCAGCCUGGCCAAGAUGGUGAAACCCUGUCUCUAUAAAAAAUACAAAAAUUUUCCUGGUGUGGUGGCGGGCACCUGUAAUCCCAGCUAAUCGAGAAGCUGAGGCAGAGAAUUGCUGAGAUCACGCCACUGCACUCCAGCCUGGGCAACAAGAGCAAAACUCCGUCUCAAAAAAAAAAAAUUUUUUUUAAUAAGCUAAAACAGGCUGGGAACAUGGCUAAAACCCGUCUCUACAGAAAACAUACAAAAAAAUUAGCUAGGUGUGGUAGCAAGUGCUGGUGGUCCCAGCUACUCAGGAGGCUGAGGUGGAAAGAUCACCUGAGCCCAGGACGUUGAGGCUACAGUGAGCCAUGAUCAUGCCACUGCACUACAGCCUGGGCAACAGAGUAAGACUCUAUCUCAAAAUAAUUAAUUAAAAUAAAUAUAAAAUUAAAUUUAAAACCCCAAAUGUGGCUGAGUGUGGUGGCUUACACCUAUAAUCCUAGCACUUUGGGAGGCUGAGGCAGGAGGAUCAAUUAAGCCCAGGAGUUUGAGACCAGCCUGGGCAACACAGUGGGACCCUGUCUCUAUAAAAAAUAAAACCCACAAAUCUGCAGGAGGAACAGGAAAAGUUUUGGUAAGGCGGCAUUGUCAAAUCAAAAGAGAAGGAAGGAAGGUAUCUCUUUAGACUCUGCAAACACAUUGACACAUCUCCUGAGCUUUUCUUGGUGUUGUCAGCAUCACCCAGCCCCAUCCCCUACUCCUAGACUUCCCCAGACACAGAAAUUAAUCAACACUGUACAGGACAACCAACAAAACAGAAAAUAGGGUACUCAAGCCUGGACACCAGACAGUCACCAUGGGACAGCCCAGCCUUCUGCAGUAAUAGUGGACAGAUGUUUCCAUUCAGGGAAUCCAAUAAUAAAAGGAAAAUAAAUGUGCAUGUUAAGGGCAGAAAAGAGGGAGAAGAGGGAUUACUUGACUUACAGCAAUUGCAGCUUGGAGUCUGUCUUCCAGAAUCUGAUGGCUUUCAUAAUUAUGUGGUAUGAGUGGAGGCUACCUCUGUAGCAGUGCUGUAGAAUAGAAUAUAGAAAUACAUAAGCCAGCCAGGCACAGUGGUUCACGCCUGUAAUCCCAGCACUGUAGGAGGCAGAGGUGGGUGGAUCCUCUGAGGUCAGGAGUUCAAGACUAGCCUGACUGACAUGGAGAAACCCUGUCUCUACUAAAAAUAUAAAAUUAGCCAGGCAUGGUGGCGCAUGCCUGUAAUCCCAGCUACUCCGUAGGCUGGGGCAGGAGAAUUGCUUGAACCCAGGAGGCGGAGGUUGUGGUGAGCCGAGACCGCGCCACUGCACUCUAGCCUGGGCGACAGAGCAGGACUCUGUCUCAAAAAAAAAAAAAAAUUGCUACUAGCUGCAUUUAUAAAAGUAAAAAGAAACGGGUGAAAUUAAUGUUAAUAUUUUAUUUGAUUCAAUAUAUCCAAACUAUUAUAUUUCACAUGUGAUUAAUAAAGUUAUCCAUGAGACAUUUGACAUUCUUUUUUUCUGUAUUGUCUUUGAAACCUGGUAUUACAGCACAUCUCAAUGCAUAUGCUAUAUCUUCCUGGGUAUACUUAAUUUUUAUUUAGAAUCCAUAAAAAUAAUAGUUGACGCUGGGUGCAGUGGCUCAAGCCUGUAAUCCCAGCACUUUGGGAGGCCGAAGCGGGCAGAUCACGAGGUCAAGAGAUCGAGACCUUCCUGGCCAAUAUGGUGAAACCCCGUCUCUACUAAAAAUACAAAAAUUAGCUGGACAUGGUGGUGGGUGCCUGCAGUCCCAGCUACUCAGGAAGGUGAGGCAGGAUAAUCGCUUGAACCUUGGAGGUGGAGAUUGCAGUGAGCCGAGAUCAGGCCACUGCACUCCAGCCUGGCGACAAAGCAACACUCUGUCUCAAAAAUAAAAUAAAAUAAUAGUUGAAAAAGUAGAUUCACAUACCCAAGUUGUUCUAAACAUACUUAAAAGUCUUCUAGGCCGGGCGCAGUGGCUCAUGCCUGUAAUCCCAGCACUUUGGGAGGCCGAGGCGGGUGGAUUGCCUGAGAUCAGGAGUUCGAGACCAGCCUGGCCAACAUAGUGAAACCCUGUCUCUAUUAAAAAUACAAAAAAAUUAGCUGGGCGUGGUGGUGGGCACCUGUAAUCCCAGCUACUAAGGAAGCUGAGGCAGGAGAAUCACUUGAACCCAUGAGGCAGAGGUUGCAGUGAGCCGAGAUCAUGCCAUUGCACUCCAGCCUGGGCAACAAGAGCAAAACUCUUGUCUCAAAAGGAAAAAAAAAAGUCUUCUAAUAACUGAAUGAGUAUUUGUUUUUAAAUUUAAGGCAAGGACAUGAAGAAAUG